UACGUAGGGUGCAAGCGUUGUCCGGAAUUAUUGGGCGUAAAGAGCUCGUAGGCGGUUUGUCGCGUCGAAUGUGAAAACCCGGGGCUCAACCCCGGGCCUGCAUUCGAUACGGGCGGACUCGAGUCCCGGAGAGGAAGGUGGAAUUCCUGGUGUAGCGGUGAAAUGCGUAGAUAUCAGGAGGAAUACCGGUGGCGAAGGCGGCCUUCUGGACGGUGACUGACGCUGAGACGCGAAAGCGUGGGGAGCAAACAGG
rnacentral:rRNA from 1 species